GAGGCUGUAGCUUAAUUAAAGCGUCUGCUUUGCACGCAGAAGAUGUGAGUUAGUGUCUCGUCAGUCUUU
rnacentral:tRNA from 1 species